rnacentral:precursor_RNA from 1 species
GGGGCCCUCCUGGUGCUUGCGUUUGCCCAGUGGGCCAGUGGGAGCCCCUG